AAUUAAAGUUUAUUUAAAAAGCCUGUUAAUAACUAUGAGUUAGGGAUUUUUUGUUGAUGGCAUCUGAGUUCCUUUUUUACUUCUCUCAUCUCUUACAGGCGUGUACCUGUUACUUCCACUUUAUCAUCAAUGAUUUCUGCUGGCAGGUUUGUGUUGUAGCCCAGAAGGAACCAACUUUAAUGGAUCAGAACUUUGCUUUUUUUAAAAAAAAAAAAAAAUCAAAAUGAUUUUUACUUUGAGGCUUCUUUGAUGUUAAUGUGAGAAACUGUAAAAAAAAUGUCUAUUUGUCAUUCCCUAGCUUCAUUUGACAUAAUGAAGACUUGUGAAGGAUUUUCUCAUCUACUUCUGUUGUGGAUUUUCACCACAUUUCUGCCUGUUUUGUGGGCACAAAAAAUUGAAGCCCCGUCUCAAGUGACUGGAUAUGUUGGCCAUAAUGUCACCCUGCCAUGCAGUUUUAUUCAAGGGACAGAUUAUUCCAAUAUUACCCAGAGUCAGUGGGAAUUCCUGUCACCAGAUGGAAAUAAAACUCUUAUUAUGGUCUCUAGCAAACAACAUGGAAAAACUGUUCAUGAGUCUCAUUUGAAGGGGAGAGUGGACAUGGAGGAUCAAUCACUGAUAAUCAAGAACGUGGAGUUAUCAGAUGCAGGGUCUUAUAUCUGCACUAUCACCUCUUUCCCCGAUGGACCAUCUAAAAAAAAAACCUAUCUUCAUGUGAGUUUUCAAGGUGAGAAGAUAAACAAUUGUUACUGUAAGAAAUCAAAAAUCAGCUAAUCGUAUAAAGCAAUACACGUUUUAUUCCACAAUUUAUUCACAGAUAUAAAAAAUGCCUUUUCUUUUAAUGCAACAAAAACUGAAAAAUUGUUAGAUGUUUCAGUUUUCAGUGAAAAACUGAAAUGUGUAAUAAGUUGUUUUUACAUACAAGCCAAAAAA